rnacentral:rRNA from 1 species
GAUGAACGCUGGCGGCGUGCUUAACACAUGCAAGUCGAACGGAAAGGCUCCUGCUUGCCGGGGUACUCGAGUGGCGAACGGGUGAGUGACACGUGGGUGAUCUGCCCUGCACUUCGGGAUAAGCCUGGGAAACUGGGUCUAAUACCGGAUAGGACCACAUUUUGGAUGGUGUGGUGGAAAGUUUUUCGGUGUGGGAUGAGCUCGCGGCCUAUCAGCUUGUUGGUGGGGUAAUGGCCUACCAAGGCGUCGACGGGUAGCCGGCCUGAGAGGGUGUACGGCCACAUUGGGACUGAGAUACGGCCCAGACUCCUACGGGAGGCAGCAGUGGGGAAUAUUGCACAAUGGGCGCAAGCCUGAUGCAGCGACGCCGCGUGGGGGAUGACGGCCUUCGGGUUGUAAACUCCUUUCGCUAGGGACGAAGCGUUUUUGUGACGGUACCUGGAGAAGAAGCACCGGCUAACUACGUG